GACGAACGCUGGCGGCGUGCUUAACACAUGCAAGUCGAACGGAAAGGCCCUGCUUUUGUGGGGUGCUCGAGUGGCGAACGGGUGAGUAACACGUGAGUAACCUGCCCUUGACUUUGGGAUAACUUCAGGAAACUGGGGCUAAUACCGGAUAGGAGCUCCUGCUGCAUGGUGGGGGUUGGAAAGUUUCGGCGGUUGGGGAUGGACUCGCGGCUUAUCAGCUUGUUGGUGGGGUAGUGGCUUACCAAGGCUUUGACGGGUAGCCGGCCUGAGAGGGUGACCGGCCACAUUGGGACUGAGAUACGGCCCAGACUCCUACGGGAGGCAGCGGUGGGGAAUAUUACACAAUGGGCGGGAGCCUGAUGCAGCAACGCCGCGUGCGGGAUGACGGCCUUCGGGUUGUAAACCGCUUUCGCCUGUGACGAAGCGUGAGUGACGGUAAUGGGUAAAGAAGCACCGGCUAACUACGUG
rnacentral:rRNA from 1 species